GACGAACGCUGGCGGCGUGCUUAACACAUGCAAGUCGAACGGAAAGGCCCUGCUUGUGUGGUGUGCUCGAGUGGCAAGGGGGUGUAUAACGCGUGUAUCACGUGCCCUUGACUUUGGUAUAACUUCGGGACACUGGGGCUAAUUCCGUAUAGGAUCUCCUCGUGCGGGGGGGGGGGGGGAGAUUUUCGGCGGUUGGGGAUGGACUCGCGGCUUAUCAGCUUGUUGGUGGGGUAGUGGCUCACCAAGGCUUUGACGGGUAGCCGGCCUGAGAGGGUGACCGGCCACACUGGGACUGAGAUACGGCCCAGACUCCUACGGGAGGCAGCAGUGGGGAAUAUUGCACAAUGGGCGGAAGCCUGAUGCAGCAACGCCGCGUGCGGGAUGACGGCCUUCGGGUUGUAAACCGCUUUCGGCUGGGAAGAAGCGAGAGUGACGGUAACGGGUAAAGAAGAACCGGCUAACUACGUG
rnacentral:rRNA from 1 species